rnacentral:rRNA from 1 species
AGGUGUGGUAAGAGCGCACCUAGGCGACGAUCAGUAGCUGGUCUGAGAGGAUGAUCAGCCACACUGGGACUGAGACACGGCCCAAACUCCUACGGGAGGCAGCAGUGGGGAAUUUUCCGCAAUGGGCGAAAGCCUGACGGAGCAAUACCGCGUGAGGGAGGAAGGCUCUUGGGUUGUAAACCUCUUUUCUCAAGGAAAAAAAAAAUGACGGUACUUGAGGAAUAAGCAUCGGCUAACUCCGUGCCAGCAGCCGCGGUAAUACGGAGGAUGCAAGCGUUAUCCGGAAUGAUUGGGCGUAAAGCGUCCGCAGGUGGCAAUGUAAGUCUGCUGUUAAAGAGUGAGGCUCAACCUCAUAAGAGCAGUGGAAACUACAUAGCUAGAGUGCGUUCGGGGCAGAGGGAAUUCCUGGUGUAGCGGUGAAAUGCGUAGAGAUCAGGAAGAACACCGGUGGCGAAAGCGCUCUGCUAGGCCGCAACUGACACUGAGGGACGAAAAGCUAGGGGAGCGAAUGGGA